rnacentral:rRNA from 1 species
AUUGAACGAUGGCGGCAGGCCUAACAAAUGCAAGUCGAGCGAGCGGCGGACGGGUGAGUAAUGUAUGGGGCUCUGCCUGAUGGAGGGGGAUAACUACUGGAAGCGGUAGCAAAUACCGCAUACCCUCAGAUGAACCCAUAUGGGAUUAGCUGGUAGGUAAGGUAACGGCUGUGCUAGGCGACGAGCCCUAGUUGGUCUGAGAGUAUGAUCAGCCACACUGGGACUGAGACACGGCCCAUACUCCUACGGGAGGCAGCAGUGGGGAAUAUUGCACUAUGGGCGCAAGCCUGAUGCAGCCAUGCCGCGUGUAUGAAGAAGGCCUUCGGGUUGUAAAGUACUUUCAGUCGGGAGGCGUUACCGACAGAAGAAGCACCGGCUAACUCCGUGCCAGCCGCCGCGGUAAUAC